UAGGGAAUCUUCGGCAAUGGACGGAAGUCUGACCGAGCAACGCCGCGUGAGUGAAGAAGGUUUUCGGAUCGUAAAGCUCUGUUGUUAGAGAAGAUCGUUGGUAGGAGUGGAAAAUCUACCAAGUGACGGUAACUAACCAGAAAGGGACGGCUAACUACGUGCCAGCAGCCGCGGUAAUACGUAGGUCCCGAGCGUUGUCCGGAUUUAUUGGGCGUAAAGCGAGCGCAGGCGGUUCUUUAAGUCUGAAGUUAAAGGCAGUGGCUUAACCAUUGUACGCUUUGGAAACUGGAGGACUUGAGUGCAGAAGGGGAGAGUGGAAUUCCAUGUGUAGCGGUGAAAUGCUUAGAUAUAUGGAGGAACACCGGUGGCGAAAGCGGCUCUCUGGUCUGUAACUGACGCUGAGGCUCGAAAGCGUGGGGAGCAAACAGG
rnacentral:rRNA from 1 species